GAUGAACGCUGGCGGCGUGCCUAAUACAUGCAAGUCGAGAGAAUGGAUUAAGAGCUUGCUCUUAUGAAGUUAGCGGCGGACGGGUGAGUAACACGUGGGUAACCUGCCCAUAAGACUGGGAUAACUCCGGGAAACCGGGGCUAAUACCGGAUAACAUUUUGAACCGCAUGGUUCGAAAUUGAAAGGCGGCUUCGUCUGUCACUUAUGGAUGGACCCGCGUCGCAUUAGCUAGUUGGUGAGGUAACGGCUCACCAAGGCAACGAUGCGUAGCCGACGUGAGAGGGUGAGCGGCCACCCUGGGAGUGAGACACGGCCCAGACUCCUACGGGAGGCAGCAGUAGGGAAUCUUCCGCACUGGACGAAAGUCUGACGGAGCAACGCCGCGUGAGUGAUGAAGGCUUUCGGGUCGUAAAACUCUGUUGUUAGGGAAGAACAAGUGCUAGUUGAAUAAGCUGGCACCUUGACGGUACCUAACCAGAAAGCCACGGCUAACUACGUGCCAGCCGCCGCAGUAA
rnacentral:rRNA from 1 species